rnacentral:rRNA from 1 species
UUAAAGUUGUUGCAGUUAAAAAGCUCGUAGUCUGACUUCGGGGCGUAGAGAGCCCGGUCCGCCGGGAUGGUGUGUACUGGCUUUCUUGCUCCUCCUUCCGGUUGCUACCCUCUGCUCUUAAGUGAGUGGGGGGGUCAGCUCCGGAUCAUUUACUUUGAAAAAAUUAGAGUGUUUAAAGCAGGCAUUUAUCGUGCGGUUGGAUAUAUUAGCAUGGGAUAAUAGGAUAGGGGUUCUCACCCUAUUUUGUUGGUUUUGAGGCGAGAACUAAUGAUUAAUAGAGAUAGUUGGGGGUAUUCAUAUUUAAUUGUCAGAGGUGAAAUUCUUGGAUUAAUUAAAGAUGAACUUCUGCGAAAGCAUCUACCAAGGAUGUUUUCAUUGAUCAAGAACGAAAGUUAGGGGAUCGAAGACGAUCAGAUACCGUCGUAGUCUUAACAGUAAACAAUGCCGACCAGGGAUUGGGAGACGUUACAUGGAUGACUCCCCCAGCACCUUGCGAGAAAUCAUAAGUUUUUGGGUUCCGGGGGGAGUAUGGUCGCAAGGCUGAAACUUAAAGGAAUUGACGGAAGGGCACCACCAGGAGUGGAGCCUGCGGCUUAAUUUGACCCAACACGGGAAAACUUACCAAGUCCAGACAUAAGAAGGAUUGACAGAUUGAGAGCUCUUUCUUGAUUCUAUGGGUGGUGGUGCAUGGCCGUUCUUAGUUGGUGGAGUGAUUUGUCUGGUUAAUUCCGUUAACGAACGAGACCUCAGCCUGCUAACUAGUUACGCUGGUCGUCUACUCGAGUGAACUGCCUGUAGCGGCAGGGUUUACUCCUUGUCGCAUCGGGUGGGGAUCUUUGAUGUGCCGGUGGAAAUACUUCUUAGAGGGACUAUUUGUAUCUAGCAAAUGGAAGUUUGAGGCAAUAACAGGUCUGUGAUGCCCUUAGAUGUUUUGGGAUGCACGCGCGCUACAAUGAUGAAGUCAACGAGUCUAACACCUUGGCCGGAAGGUCUGGGUAAUCUUUUGAAACUUCAUCGUAAUGGGGAUUGAUCUUUGUAUUUAUCGAUCAUUAACGGGGAAUUCCUAGUAAGCGUGGUUCAUCAAACCACGUUGAUUUCGUCCCUGCCCUUUGUACACACCGCCCGUCGCUCCUACCGAUUGAAUGAUCCGGUGAAAUCUCCGGAUUGGGGGGUCCAACUGUCGGGGCAACUCGGCAGUAACUCACCGAGAAGCUGAUUAAACCUUAUCAUUUAGAGGAAGGAGAAGUCGUAACAAGGUUUCCGUAGGUGAACCUGCGGAAG